UACGAAGGGGGCUAGCGUUGCUCGGAAUCACUGGGCGUAAAGCGCACGUAGGCGGCUUUUUAAGUCAGGGGUGAAAUCCUGGAGCUCAACUCCAGAACUACCUUUGAUACUGAAAAGCUUGAGUCCGGGAGAGGUGAGUGGAACUGCGAGUGUAGAGGUGAAAUUCGUAGAUAUUCGCAAGAACACCAGUGGCGAAGGCGGCUCACUGGCCCGGUACUGACGCUGAGGUGCGAAAGCGUGGGGAGCAAACAGG
rnacentral:rRNA from 1 species